AAUACUUUAUGAUAAUCAGGUGCAUUAUUGCCUAACAGAGAAAUCGGUGCAAUGCCGAUGCGGUCCCGCCGCUGUAAUGCUGAGCAAACCUCAAAACGUCACUGGGAAACUGGGAAGACGAGGUACGCGAUGAAGCAGAGCCAGAAGAACUGCCUGAUUAUAGCCCAUUAC
rnacentral:ncRNA from 2 species